rnacentral:rRNA from 1 species
UUGGGCCCAGAUCGUUUACCGUGAAAAAAUUAGAGUGUUCAAAGCAGGCAGACCAUUUCUUCUGCCACCGAAUACAUUAGCAUGGGAUAAUGGAAUAGGACCCUGUCCUCCUAUUUUGCGUGUUGGUUUUCGAGGACCGGGUAAUGAUUAAUAGGGAUAGUUGGGGGCAUUAAUAUUUAAUUGUCAGAGGUGAAAUUCUUGGAUUUAUGAAAGAUUGACUUCUGCGAAAGCAUCUGCCAAGGAUGUUUUCAUUAAUCAAGAACGAAAGUUAGGGGAUCGAAGACGAUCAGAUACCGUCGUAGUCUUAACCAUAAACGAUGCCGACCAGCGAUUAGGAGACGUUGAAUACAAAACACCACCGUCGGGUCGGCCGUCCUUGGCCGUCGUGCGCGGCGACGCGCGCGGCGGCGAGGGCGGUCGCCGACGGCCCGGUAAAA